rnacentral:rRNA from 1 species
GAUGAACGCUGGCGGCGUGCCUAAUACAUGCAAGUCGAGCGAACGGACGAGACGCUUGCUUUUCUGAUGUUAGCGGCGGACGGGUGAGUAACACGUGGAUAACCUACCUAUAAGACUGGGAUAACUUCGGGAAACCGGAGCUAAUACCGGAUAAUAUUUUGAACCGCAUGGUUCAAAAGUGAAAGACGGUCUUGCUGUCACUUAUAGAUGGAUCCGCGCUGCAUUAGCUAGUUGGUAAGGUAACGGCUUACCAAGGCAACGAUGCAUAGCCGACCUGAGAGGGUGAUCGGCCACACUGGAACUGAGACACGGUCCAGACCCCUACGGGAGGCAGCAGUAGGGAAUCUUCGGCAAUGGGCGAAAGCCUGACGGAGCAACGCCGCGUGAGUGAUGAAGGUCUUCGGAUCGUAAAACUCUGUUAUUAGGGAGGAACAUAUGUGUAAGUAACUGUGCACAUCUUGACGGUACCUAAUCAGAAAGCCACGGCUAACUACGUG